ensembl:lncRNA
UUUACAAAACCCGGGGGAGGGGUGCGGUGGGGUGGAAGGAGAAAGGAUGGUGGAUAGGCGGGGUCGUUUACUUUGGCAAGUUUGCUGUAAAUAUUCUUUUCAGCAUGUGUGAGGUCUGGCGAGGGACUAUUACACGCUUAUUCCCCCUUAAACUUUCGCCCACCGUUUGCUGCGCGGAGCUGUUUUUCAAUCCGAGGUGUCGCUGAACUGGGAACUCUGUUGACAUAAGGACAUCCAGGGGUUUCUCCGGGAGGGUCUGGGGCCUAAUUAAGAAGUUUACUAAGGAGGUCGGUCAAAACGUAAACUUUCUCUGGGGAGGGGCUUUCUGGGUAGAGACAGCUCCCUGUUUCUGGCCAGUGCCCCUGCCCAUGGGAUCCCAGGCUCUUUUGAUAUUGACAGACGUUGAAACUGACUAGGUGUCUGCUUCAGGACUCCCAUAGUCCUUUGCGUUCAAUUCCCCAAACCCUGGAGGUGAUUUUUUUUAGCGGGCACCUCAGGGAGGCAGCUCCCCCAAGGUGAGGGCCUAGGUUAAGUUCCUCUAGCAGAUAGCAGCCAGCACCCUCCUUUCCACAUUAGCACCCCUGUGCUACCCCAAACCCUGACUCUUUCACACGCAGCUCUGAAGUCAAAGGAGGACUUCACGGACCUGGGAGGCUUGGUUUUCCUCCUGGAGUUUCGUAUCUUUCCCCGCCUUCCCCCUGCAAAUUUGCUUUAAGAACCUAGUGCCUCUCAGGUCUGGAGGCUUCAGGAUCAGUCUUUUUGAUGGAGAGUCAGUUUCCCCAUCUUUCUUUCCCUCCAGAGGUAGGCACAAGAGUCUUGGUUGGACCAGACAGGACACCCAUUUCUGUUUCUGUUUCUCUUUCUUCUGCUUGGGCUGUCCUCUCUCUCUGUCCAUGUCUUUCAAGAUUCCAUGACUGCAGAUCUGUGUUUUUUAUUCUGUUUUCUUCUACUUUCUCUUCUCUUCCUGGCGUCUAUCUUGUUCUCGGCUUCUUUAACUCCUCAGCCUCUACCUCCCAGCCUUCACUUCUCUCAUUAUUUUUUUAAAAAUUUUAUUAACUACCUUUUCUGUUCGUUCUUCUUCUCUUCCCUUCCUAUUUUCUCUGGCUUUCCUGGUCCUCUCUGGAUUCUCUUCUGCCUUUCUAUGUUUCUGUAUUGCCUCUGUAUCCACCCCCAACUCUUCCUCUUUUCCAGAAAUCAAGACAGGCUGGAGUUAACCUCUCCCUGGGGUUCAAGCAGACACCUUCCCCUCAUAUUCCUGGCCUGGAUGAUAAGGUGUCCUCCAAGAUAGAAGAAUGUUGGGCCCAUUUGUGUAGAUUUGAAGUCUCGCUUUCUGCGUUUAGUAUUCCCCAAACCACCCUUCGCCCAGGGCUGGCCUCUCACCUCUGUUCCAAUGCUCCGAUCUCCCAUCCUUUCUCUCUCCCCCUCCUUUCCAAGGCAAGAGCCCAGGGUGAAGGGCACCAUGGCAGGUUCUAAAGCCCCAUUGUCUAGCUUGGGGAAGCAGUAUUUUUAGUACAGAGGUUCACUUUGGCGCCAGUUGGUUUAUGCUGUUUCUAGAGCAUCAUUCGUUAUAUACUUAAUCCAUGCUUAUCAUACCUCCCUUUAAUGUAAAUAUGUUUUUGGCAGAGGCAGAAUGAAAAGAUUUCACCCUCUGCAUUAUUCUUAUUAGCACCCACCUUUCAUCAAAGCAGAUCGCUCUACAAAAUGGCAAAUUUGUAAACGGCCAAUGAUUUAGAGAAGUUGGAAGGGAAGCAAGGAGGGAAGGAUGAAGGAAGUAGUGUGUGUGUGUCUGGGGAGCGUGCUUCUUAUACAUCUGUGAAAGGUUUUUCCCCUCUCUCUCUGUCAGGAAAAGGAACUAAUUGUGGUUUCCUAAUUUCAAACCAAUCUACAUCUUCAAUACUCUCUUUGUGUGUUUUACCCCAUUACUUAAAAAAAAAAAAAGAAAGAAACGCGAGAUAAUGCAAUGGAUAUUUCAUAGUCCAGUCGAAAUGAGUUCACUGGGAAGAGGCUGGGAAUUUUUCCUCUCAUCUUAUCUGAUCCAGCAUCUGCAAGGCGCAGAGCCAGAGCUGACUUCGGCCUCAGGCACGGGGCACUGUUGACCACCCAAAAUCUUUCUUCUUUCAACAUCCUCUUUCCAGAUGUCUCAGUCGAGACAGGGGAAGAAGAGAGAGCAAGGGAGCAGGGACACACACAGACAUAGAAAGAGGGAAUGUUUGGAAUUAUGAGAGAGCUUUCCUUAAGAGUUGCUUUUGCUGGCGCCCAGGCCUCGGCCCAGACUGCAGCUGCCCGAUUGCUGAUCAUCAGCAGGAGACCACAGUCCCCUUCCUCGGUCCUCUAGGACAUGCUGAGACCGCUUCUUUUCAGCCUGAGAGUGAAUGGCGUGGUCGGGAAGAGAGAGAUGAGAAAGGAGAGAUGCUGCCAUCGACAACACUUACAGCCUCCAGAAAUGACCCUUGGUGCCGACUUGUCUGGAAGCCAUCAGGGUUAGUUUUGAAGCAGGAGUCUUCAAGUGGACCAGAGGGCUGCCUCAGACACAUUCCCGGGAAGACAGAAGAAAGGAAGAAACAGGAAGGUCAUGGAGGAGUGGCAGAAGACCAAUGAGUAAACUUGACCCUGGUGCGUGGCUUGCAGGAUCUCCCUGACCAGGGACUGAACUGUGCCCUCCUCCGUGGACGUGCAGAGCCCUAACCGCUGGACAGCCAGGGCACUCCUGGUGGUGUGUACUUCUACCAAAAGACUCACAAAAUUGCUUGUAUUUCUUCUUGGUUUGUGAGCAGCUGCUGAAGACCAUUUUCGGCGUGGAUCCAUCAUUUCUUUAAGGGUUUGCACAACAGUGAUAUUUCGUGUCUUUCAUUUCAUCUUCAUUAUGUGAAAUACUCCCAAAUUUCUCAAGAGGAC